rnacentral:rRNA from 1 species
GACACGACCGUACCGCAAACCGACACUGGUGCGCGAGAUGAGUAUUCUAAGGCGCUUGAGAGAACUCAGGAGAGGGAACUCGGCAAAUUGACACCGUAACUUCGGAAGAAGGUGUGCCUUUAGUAGGUGAACCAUUUACUUGGGGAGCCCAAUGAGGCUGCAAAAAAUCGGUGGCUGCAACUGUUUAUUAAAAACACAGCACUCUGCUAAGACGAAAGUCGACGUAUAGGGUGUGACGCCUGCCCGGUGCUGAAAGAUUAAAUGAUGGGGUGCAAGCUCUUGAUUGAAGUCCCAGUAAACGGCGGCCGUAACUAUAACGGUCCUAAGGUAGCGAAAUUCCUUGUCGGGUAAGUUCCGACCUGCACGAAUGGCGUAAUGAUGGCCACACUGUCUCCUCCUGAGACUCAGCGAAGUUGAAAUGUUUGUGAUGAUGCAAUCUCCCCGCGGAAAGACGGAAAGACCCCAUGAACCUUUACUGUAGCUUUGUAUUGGACUUUGAACAGAUCUGUGUAGGAUAGGUGGGAGGCUUUGAAGUGUGGUCGCUAGAUCGCAUGGAGCCAACGUUGAAAUACCACCCUGGUGUGUUUGAGGUUCUAACCUAGGUCCAUUAUCUGGAUCGGGGACAGUGCAUGGUAGGCAGUUUGACUGGGGCGGUCUCCUCCCAAAGUGUAACGGAGGAGUUCGAAGGUACGCUAGGUACGGUCGGACAUCGUGCUAAUAGUGCAAUGGCAUAAGCGUGCUUAACUGCGAGACUGACAAGUCGAGCAGAUGCGAAAGCAGGACAUAGUGAUCCGGUGGUUCUGUAUGGAAGGGCCAUCGCUCAACGGAUAAAAGGUACUCUGGGGAUAACAGGCUGAUACCGCCCAAGAGUUCAUAUCGACGGCGGUGUUUGGCACCUCGAUGUCGGCUCAUCUCAUCCUGGGGCUGUAGCCGGUCCCAAGGGUAUGGCUGUUCGCCAUUUAAAGAGGUACGUGAGCUGGGUUUAAAACGUCGUGAGACAGUUUGGUCCCUAUCUUCCGUGGGCGCUGCAGAUUUGAGGAAGCCUGCUCCUAGUACGAGAGGACCGGAGUGGACGAACCUCUGGUGUAUCGGUUGUCACGCCAGUGGCAUUGCCGAGUAGCUAAGUUCGGAAGAGAUAACCGCUGAAAGCAUCUAAGCGGGAAACUCGUUUCAAGAUUAGAUCUGCCGGGGCCUUGAGCCCCCUAAAGAGUCGUUCAAGACCAGGACGUUGAUAGGUCAGGUGUGGAAGCGAA